rnacentral:rRNA from 1 species
AUUGAACGCUGGCGGCAGGCCUAACACAUGCAAGUCGAGCGGAUGAAGGGAGCUUGCUCCUGGAUUCAGCGGCGGACGGGUGAGUAAUGCCUAGGAAUCUGCCUGGUAGUGGGGGAUAACGUCCGGAAACGGGCGCUAAUACCGCAUACGUCCUGAGGGUGAAAGUGGGGGAUCUUCGGACCUCACGCUAUCAGAUGAGCCUAGGUCGGAUUAGCUAGUUGGUGGGGUAAAGGCCUACCAAGGCGACGAUCCGUAACUGGUCUGAGAGGCUGAUCAGUCACACUGGAACUGAGACACGGUCCAGACUCCUACGGGAGGCAGCAGUGGGGAAUAUUGGACAAUGGGCGAAAGCCUGAUCCAGCCAUGCCGCGUGUGUGAAGAAGGUCUUCGGAUUGUAAAGCACUUUAAGUUGGGAGGAAGGGCAGUAAGUUAAUACCUUGCUGUUUUGACGUUACCAACAGAAUAAGCACCGGCUAACUUCGUG